rnacentral:rRNA from 1 species
UAGGGAAUCUUCGGCAAUGGACGAAAGUCUGACCGAGCAACGCCGCGUGAGUGAAGAAGGUUUUCGGAUCGUAAAACUCUGUUGUUAGAGAAGAACAAGGACGUUAGUAACUGAACGUCCCCUGACGGUAUCUAACCAGAAAGCCACGGCUAACUACGUGCCAGCAGCCGCGGUAAUACGUAGGUGGCAAGCGUUGUCCGGAUUUAUUGGGCGUAAAGCGAGCGCAGGCGGUUUCUUAAGUCUGAUGUGAAAGCCCCCGGCUCAACCGGGGAGGGUCAUUGGAAACUGGGAGACUUGAGUGCAGAAGAGGCGAGUGGAAUUCCAUGUGUAGCGGUGAAAUGCGUAGAUGUAUGGAGGAACACCAGUGGCGGAGGCGGCUCUCUGGUCUGUAACUGACGCUGAGGCUCGAAAGCGUGGGGAGCAAACAGG